rnacentral:rRNA from 1 species
ACGGAGGUUGCAAGCGUUGUUCGGAAUAACUGGGCGUAAAGGGAGCGCAGGCGGCAAGGUCAGUCUAAAGUGAAAGCCCGGGGCUUAACCUCGGAAGUGCUUUAGAUACUGCCUUGCUCGAGUUCGUGAGAGGAAAGCGGAAUUCCAGGUGUAGGAGUGAAAUGCUGUGAUACUUGGGGGACCACCGGUGGCGAAGGCGUCUCACCAGGACGAUUCUGACAGUGAGGAUCGAAAGCUGGGGGAGCAAACGG